rnacentral:rRNA from 1 species
ACGGGUGCGUAACACGUAUGUAACCUACCCAUAUCAGGGGGAUAGCCUCUCGAAAGAGAGAUUAAGCCCGCAUAAAAUCAGAUUAUGGCAUCAUAGACUGAUCAAGUAUUUAUAGGAUAUGGAUGGGCAUGCGGAACAUUAGCUAGUUGGUAAGGUAACGGCUUACCAAGGCUACGAUGUUUAGGGGAUCUGAGAGGAUGACCACCCACACUGGUACUGAGACACGGACCAGACUCCUACGGGAGGCAGCAGUAAGGAAUAUUGGUCAAUGGACGGAAGUCUGAACCAGCCAUGCCGCGUGCAGGAAGACGGCCCUACGGGUCGUAAACUGCUUUUGUACCGGAAUAAACCUCGAUUCGUGAAUCGAGCUGAAUGUACGGUAAGAAUAAGGAUCGGCUAACUCCGUGCCAGCAGCCGCGGUAAUACGGAGGAUCCGAGCGUUAUCCGGAUUUAUUGGGUUUAAAGGGUGCGUAGGCGGCCUAUUAAGUCAGGGGUGAAAGACGGUAGCUUAACUAUCGCAGUGCCUUUGAUACUGAUAGGCUUGAAUGUACUUGAGGUAGGCGGAAUGUGACAAGUAGCGGUGAAA